UGCCAGCGCCGCGGUAAUACGGAGGAUCCAAGCGUUAUCCGGAAUCAUUGGGUUUAAAGGGUCCGUAGGCGGUCUUGUAAGUCAGUGGUGAAAGCCCAUCGCUCAACGGUGGAACGGCCAUUGAUACUGCAGGACUUGAAUUAUUAGGAAGUAACUAGAAUAUGUAGUGUAGCGGUGAAAUGCUUAGAGAUUACAUGGAAUACCAAUUGCGAAGGCAGGUUACUACUAAUGGAUUGACGCUGAUGGACGAAAGCGUGGGUAGCGAACAGG
rnacentral:rRNA from 1 species